UACGUAGGGGGCUAGCGUUGUCCGGAAUCCUUGGGCGUAAAGCGCGUGUAGGCGGCCCGGUAAGUCCGCUGUGAAAGUCCAGGGCUCAACCCUGGGAUGCCGGUGGAUACUGUCGGGCUCGAGUCCGGAAGAGGCGAGUGGAAUUCCUGGUGUAGCGGUGAAAUGCGCAGAUAUCAGGAGGAACACCAAUGGCGAAGGCAGCUCGCUGGGACGUGACUGACGCUGAGACGCGAAAGCGUGGGGAGCAAACAGG
rnacentral:rRNA from 1 species